rnacentral:rRNA from 1 species
AAGGGAGCGUAGGCCGUUUGGUAAGCGUGUUGUGAAAUGUAGUAGCUCAACUUCUAGAUUGCAGCGCGAACUGUCAGACUUGAGUGCGCACAACGUAGGCGGAAUUCAUGGUGUAGCGGUGAAAUGCUUAGAUAUCAUGAAGAACUCCGAUUGCGAAGGCAGCUUACGGGAGCGCAACUGACGCUGAAGCUCGAAGGUGCGGGUAUCGAACAGGAUUAGAUACCCUGGUAGUCCGCACAGUAAACGAUGGAUGCCCGCUGUUAGCACCUAGUGUUAGCGGCUAAGCGAAAGCAUUAAGCAUCCCACCUGGGGAGUACGCCGGCAACGGUGAAACUCAAAGGAAUUGACGGGGGCCCGCACAAGCGGAGGAACAUGUGGUUUAAUUCGAUGAUACGCGAGGAACCUUACCCGGGCUUGAAUUGCAGAUGAACGAUUUAGAGAUAAUGAGGUCCUUCGGGACAUCUGUGAAGGUGCUGCAUGGUUGUCGUCAGCUCGUGCCGUGAGGUGUCGGCUUAAGUGCCAUAACGAGCGCAACCCCUUUCUUUAGUUGCCAUCAGGUUCUGCUGGGCACUCUGGAGAUACUGCCACCGUAAGGUGUGAGGAAGGUGGGGAUGACGUCAAAUCAGCACGGCCCUUACGUCCGGGGCUACACACGUGUUACAAUGGGUGGUACAGAUAGUUGGUCGUGUGCAAAUACGAUCUAAUCCUUAAAACCAUUCUCAGUUCGGACUGGGGUCUGCAACCCGACCCCACGAAGCUGGAUUCGCUAGUAAUCGCGCAUCAGCCAUGGCGCGGUGAAUACGUUCCCGGGCCUUGUACACACCGCCCGUCAAGCCAUGAAAGCCGGGGGUGCCUGAAGUUCGUGACCGUAA